GCGUUAUUGAAGCAGCCCAAGGUUAAUUUGAAUGGCCUAUUCCAUCUGCCCCGAAGGAAGACUGGAGUAGAAAGGAAAUGGAAAGAGAGCUACAGUAGCCUGGAGCCCAGAAGCCUCAGUGGGACCCACUGAAGCAGGGAGGGGGUGCAUCUGCCAGGCAUUAGAGGAGGAAGGAGAUUAAAGGUGGGCAGAUCACUGCUCACUUGAGUGUUCGGUGAAGCAUGGGGUAUAUGACUAAGAAGUGCAUCUGCAGAAUCUCUCUGAAGUCUAUGGAAAAUGAGGGGGAAAACCAACCAUAAGAGAUUUUGUUAAUUUAUCACAGCAAAUGCUUGAAAGAUAGCUGUUAUAUAUGUUUGGAAGUCCUUAGGCAUGAAAGUAUGAACUCAGAUUCUUCCGCAGUGAGAAGAGCAGCUUGGAAUUUUAUACUCUUUUCUUCACAUUGUCAGAGAUCUCCCCCAAAGUGCUUCACUGAGAGUUUAAUUACCUGCUGAUGAAGAGGGGGCAGUAGCAUGUAGAGGAGUGACUACUCUGAGCAGCUGACAGCAUCUGACUGUCUGAAGUGGAACCCCAAUGGCCGGGCCAGGGAUGUGCAGGCCAGGCUUAGGCCUCCUUGUUGGACAUCCUGCUUGGGGAGGCCCUUCCUCAUACACAGGGAGCACCAGCUAAGCCAAACCAGAGGCCUCAUUCCAACCCUGCCAACAAGGUCAGGUGACCCUGCACAGCUUUCUCCUUGGGCAGUGCCAGGAGCCAGGGAGGUGGCAUAUGUCUCAGCUCCUCAAUUGCAAUUGUGACUUUCACAGGCACUGCCAAGAGCAGAGCUUCAUUAGCAGGCGGCAAAGCGAGGACUGUGAGUGAGACUACCUCAGUGCAGAAAAAAGCAAGUGUCAGCAACAGCUCGGCCUUCUUGGAGAGGUUUCUUUGUGUUUCUUCAUCCUGCUGCUCUGAAGCAGACAGUGUCUGGUUCUCUUGGGUAGCUCUAUAUCCUGUGCACGCACUGGAAAACAUUGAGACACCAUUAGGUGGUGUUCCGGAUGUAAUUAAUAACACAGCCUCAGGAGCUCUUGGGCGUUACUGCCUUUCUCACUCUGCCCUUCCUGUGAUCCUAGCAGAUAAGUCAGAGCCACCAGCCAGCUGUGCAGUGGGAGGAACAGCUGGCCCAUGCCUGCACCUGUCCCAAUGCAAUGACAGUGAACAUCCUUCAGAGUCUUUUUUGCUCUCCUGGGACUCGAUCCAUCCAUUAUUUCUUGAGGCAGCACAUCUUGUGGCCAGAGUUGGCAUGCAUGCCCUAAUUGUUACUUAG
rnacentral:lncRNA from 1 species